UACGUAGGUGGCAAGCGUUGUCCGGAUUUAUUGGGUUUAAAGGGUGCGUAGGCGGUUCUAUAAGUCAGUGGUGAAAUCCGGCAGCUUAACUGUCGAUGUGCCAUUGAUACUGCAGAACUUGAGUACAGACGAGGUAGGCGGAAUUGACGGUGUAGCGGUGAAAUGCUUAGAUAUCGUCAAGAACACCGAUAGCGAAGGCAGCUUACUAGACUGUAACUGACGCUGAUGCACGAAAGUGUGGGGAUCAAACAGG
rnacentral:rRNA from 1 species